rnacentral:rRNA from 1 species
UCCCAGACUCCUACGGGAGGCAGCAGUGGGGGAUAUUGCACAAUGGGGGGAACCCUGAUGCAGCGACGCCGCGUGGGUGAAGAAGCGCCUCGGCGCGUAAAGCCCUGUCAGCAGGGAAGAAAAUGACGGUACCUGACUAAGAAGCCCCGGCUAACUACGUGCCAGCAGCCGCGGUAAUACGUAGGGGGCAAGCGUUAUCCGGAUUUACUGGGUGUAAAGGGAGCGUAGACGGCGAUGCAAGUCUGAAGUGAAAGGCGGGGGCCCAACCCCCGGACUGCUCUGGAAACUGCGUCGCUGGAGUGCAGGAGGGGCAGGCGGAAUUCCUGGUGUAGCGGUGAAAUGCGUAGAUAUCAGGAGGAACACCGGUGGCGAAGGCGGCCUGCUGGACUGCAACUGACGUUGAGGCCCGAAAGCGUGGGGAGCAAACAGGAUUAGAUACCCCGGUAG